rnacentral:rRNA from 1 species
GAUCAUGGCUCAGGACGAACGCUGGCGGCGUGCUUAACACAUGCAAGUCGAACGGGGAUUAGUUGAUAGAGAGCUUCGGCAGGAAAUUGAUUAAUUCGAGUGGCGGACGGGUGAGUAACGCGUGAGCAACCUGUCCCAGACAGGGGGAUAACACUUGGAAACAGGUGCUAAUACCGCAUAAGACCACGGGAUCACAUGGUUCCGGGGUAAAAGGAGCAAUCCGGUUUGGGGUGGGCUCGCGUCCGAUUAGCCAGUUGGCGGGUAACGGCCCACCAAAGCGACGAUCGGUAGCCGACCUGAGAGGGUGAACGGCCACAUUGGAACUGAGAGACGGUCCAAACUCCUACGGGAGGCAGCAGUGGGGAAUAUUGGGCAAUGGGCGCAAAGCCUGACCCAGCAACGCCGCGUGAAGGAAGAAGGCUUUCGGGUUGUAAACUUCUUUUAAGAGGGAAGAGCAGAAGACGGUACCUCUAGAAUAAGCCACGGCUAACUACGUGCCAGCCGCGGC